AGGCAUUUGUGUCAGGGAUGUGACCUCCCUGGGUUCCCUCAAGGUGACCUGCAUCCUGCAGCUCUCUCCUCAGGGUCGGCGGGAACGCGACUCCCCAAACCCGGGUUGAACCCAGCUCAGGGGCUUGUUUGCUGAACACCAACCAGGAAGACCAGGUGUGACCGAGAGGAGGAUCAGGUGAGGAAACUGCUCAGGGAAGGGACUAACUUUGAGAAUCAACAGCAGUGAAGUGAAGAGGAGGAAGAAAAGGCUACGAAGAGCAAAUGUAACUCUUCCUCAAGCGUCAGAGGUCAAGAUAAGAAAUGCCUCCUGCCAUCCAUCCUCUGAUCACCCAGGGCAUCUAACUGCACCUCAGCCCUCAGGGCUACGGGACAGAAAUGGAGAACAUACAAUCAGCAGAGGAAACAUACUCAGAGAGCCCCGAGUUCUGCCAGAGCUGGGAUUCCCAGUCUCUGUUGUUUAG